rnacentral:rRNA from 1 species
UACGGGGGGAGCAAGCGUUGUUCGGAUUUACUGGGCGUAAAGGGCUCGUAGGCGGCCAACUAAGUCGGAUGUGAAAUCCCCAGGCUUAACCUGGGAACUGCAUCCGAUACUGGAUGGCUUGAAUCCGGGAGAGGGAUGCAGAAUUCCAGGUGUAGCGGUGAAAUGCGUAGAUAUCUGGAGGAAUACCGGUGGCGAAGGCGGCAUCCUGGGCCGACACUGACGCUGAAGCGCGAAAGCCAGGGGAGCGAACGGG